CGACGCCGCGUGGGGAUGAACGCGUUCUCGGAGUUGUAAACCCUUUCGGACCCGGACGAAUGACCCGCAAGGGUUUGACGGUACGGGUAAUAAGAAGCCCCGGCUACUACGUGC
rnacentral:rRNA from 1 species